UGCAGUCCUCCGCUACACGGCGCAACGAGAAAUCCUCGCCGAGCACCUGUGCCGUCACCCCGUUGCCGCCCGUCGCGUGGAAGUAAAACUUCACAAAUCGUUAAUUAACCGAAAACACGAGCGCAAAACUCGACUCGAAUCCCCCUCGUCGUCGCCGCCGCCACUGCCGCCAUGCAAAUUGCAAACGACCCGUAAUAACGUACGCGACGAAAGUAUAAUAAUGCGCGCCGGGUUAGUGCUGCGAAAAAAAAAACAAUCAGUUUCACCGAGCAGACGGACACUCGGUAGAGGCUCAGGGGUGGCGGUGGUGAUCGAAACGGAAAUUAAAAUGUCCAAAUAAUUACAUGCAGAUGUAGAUACGGUCGGUGGUCUCUGAUGUUUACCUCCGAACGAGAUAUUUUGCAUUUUCGAGGGACAUGUUACCUAAGUAUAUUCUAUACGUCAUGCAUAUAUUAUAAUUUCAUAUUCAGGGGUUGCAGUGGUGGUCGAAACGGAAAUGAAAAUGUCCACAUAAUACAGAUGUAGAUAUGCCGGUGGUCUCUGAUGUUUACCUUCGAACGAGACAUUUUGCAUUUUCGAGGGACACAAAACCCCGUUCGACGUGUUAUAAUACAACGUGACGCGUACUACAACGCUCGGCGGAAAUCAAAUAUCGGACCGACGGCUCAAUUCAAUUUCCCGACAGAUAAUAAUAAUAAUAUAUAAGUACGUACAACAUUCAAACCUUUUUUAUAUUAUUAUUUUUUUUAGCAAGUACCACGCCUUCUCUCCACUCAACUUCCGGCCGCCGGCGAAUAUAUCCGUUAUUAUUAUACACGUAGGACGUGUCGAAAAUCUGCAUGGAAAUAGCACAAUCAUGAGUAUAAUACAUUUAUAUAUAAAAAAAUAGCA